UACAGAUAGGGAAAUUGGGGUUCAGAAUGUUUAUUCACCUUCUCCAUGACUACAUAACUGGCAAGAAGUCAAAACAGAAUUUGAACUGAGGUCUCUUGACGUCAAAUCUAGCUAUCCAAGCCCCCAGACAAGAUUUCUUUGGCACAGUCACCAGAAUUUUUAUCAAAUGAGAACCACAGCACAACAGAUACAUUUGCAACUCUGUCCUUUGAAAGAAUGAUGUCUCUUGUCUAGGUGGUCACCAAGAUGAUCUGCCUACGUCGAUGAAGGUCUGACUUCUGUGGAGUCCCGAUAAGAAAUGUGAAAGAGCUGAACAGAGGACAGUGCCGCGGUCUAAUACACGCCAAGAUCUGACUUGAUUUAUUAAAUAGACUAUUUCUUGGCUCACUACCACUACUAAACCUGGGGCAAUAAGCAUGGCUCAUAAAAUACAUACUAAUAUGAA